rnacentral:ncRNA from 1 species
UCAACCUGACGGAAGUCUAUUAGUCUACCAUGGUUAUUAUUAUGGGAGCGGAGAAUAAGGGAAAGGUUCGGCUUCCGGAAGGACCCUCAGAAACGACCACCACAUCCAAGCAAAGCAACAGACGCGUAAUUUAUCCACUCUUCAACAGAUGAGAUAGUGACUAGAAAUGAAAAGAGCAUUCCCAUGGAACGGUCAUUUCAAUGAGUUGAUCGUAAACCUUUUUCCGGGAAUCAGUUAGAGGGGGAAGCAUAGAUGCGAUAGUCGGAGCUGGUACUUUGA